rnacentral:rRNA from 1 species
ACGGGGGGAGGAAAGUAGGGGAUCGUAAGACCUUGUGCUUUUUGAGCGGCCGAUGCCUGAUUAGCUUGUUGGUGAGGUAAUGGCUUACCAAGGCGACGAUCAGUAGCUGGUCUGAGAGGACGACCAGCCACACUGGGACUGAGACACGGCCCAGACUCCUACGGGAGGCAGCAGUGGGGAAUUUUGGACAAUGGGCGAAAGCCUGAUCCAGCCAUGCCGCGUGAGUGAAGAAGGCCUUCGGGUUGUAAAGCUCUUUCGGUCGGGAAGAAAUAGUUGCGGCUAAUAUCUGCAAUGAAUGACGGUACCGACAUAAGAAGCACCGGCUAACUACGUGCCAGCAGCCGCGGUAAUACGUAGGGUGCAAGCGUUAAUCGGAAUUAUUGGGCGUAAAGGGUGCGCAGGUGGUUAUAUAAGUCAGAUGUGAAAUCCCUGGGCUUAACCUAGGAAUUGCGUUUGAAACUACAAAGCUAG